AUUGAACGCUGGCGGCAUGCUUUACACAUGCAAGUCGAACGGCAGCGCGGGCUUCGGCCUGGCGGCGAGUGGCGAACGGGUGAGUAAUACAUCGGAACGUGCCCAGUAGUGGGGGGUAGCUCGGCGAAAGCCGGAUUAAUACCGCAUACGACCUGAGGGUGAAAGCGGGGGAUCUUCGGACCUCGCGCUAUUGGAGCGGCCGAUGGCAGAUUGGCUAGUUGGUGGGGUAAAGGCCUACCAAGGCGACGAUCUGUAGCUGGUCUGAGAGGACGACCAGCCACACUGGGACUGAGACACGGCCCAGACUCCUACGGGAGGCAGCAGUGGGGAAUUUUGGACAAAGGGCGAAAGCCUGAUCCAGCAAUGCCGCGUGUGUGAUGAAGGCCUUCGGGUUGUAAAGCACUUUUGGCGGGAACGAAAAGGACUGUGCCAAUACCACGGUUCGAUGACGGUACCCGCAGAAUAAGCACCGGCUAACUACGUG
rnacentral:rRNA from 1 species